UACGUAGGGCGCAAGCGUUGUCCGGAAUUAUUGGGCGUAAAGAGCUCGUAGGCGGUCUGUUACGUCCGCUGGGAAAACUCGGGGCUUAACCCCGAGCCUGCAGUGGAUACGGGCAGACUAGAGGUAGGUAGGGGAGAAUGGAAUUCCCGGUGUAGCGGUGAAAUGCGCAGAUAUCGGGAGGAACACCGGUGGCGAAGGCGGUUCUCUGGGCCUUUCCUGACGCUGAGGAGCGAAAGCGUGGGGAGCGAACAGG
rnacentral:rRNA from 1 species